rnacentral:rRNA from 1 species
CAGUCGCCGCGGGAAUACGUAGGUGGCAAGCGUUGUCCGGAAUUAUUGGGCGUAAAGGGCUCGCAGGCGGUUUCUUAAGUCUGAUGUGAAAACCCCCGGCUCAACCGGGGAGGGUCAUUGGAAACUGGGAAACUUGAGUGCAGAAGAGGAGAGUGGAAUUCCACGUGUAGCGGUGAAAUGCGUAGAGAUGUGGAGGAACACCAGUGGCGAAGGCGACUCUCUGGUCUGUAACUGACGCUGAGGAGCGAAAGCGUGGGGAGCGAACAGGAUUAGAUACCCGUGUAGUCCCUGUCUCUUAUAC